rnacentral:tRNA from 1 species
GGUGCUGUGGCUCAACUGGUAGAGUGCUAGCCUGGAGCACAAGUGGUAGAGUGCUUGCCUUGCAUGCAUGAGGCCCUGGGUUCGAUUCCUCAGCACCA